AGUAAUGAGUAAUUUUCUCACGACCUAAAAAUAACGCGUCCAAAAUCAGACGCCUCCUCCACCUUCAUCGAACAGCUCCCUCCAUGUCGCUGCCAUCUCCCUUCUGAUCUCCUCCUUCCUUCAGCCGAAUCUUCUUCUUCUACUGCAGAAAUUCUUCAUCAGCAAUGAAGUAAUCUAAGGUGGUUCUUGUAUAUAAACCCUUUUCGGGUUCAUCUCCGGAGUAGAUAUCGAAUCAAACCUAUGUGUAAUUCGCUGUAAAGUUGUGAGAUUUUCGAGAUUUUUGGUGAAGUUUUCGUCGGCGGAGUCAGGCAGUGGGUGCAAAUGGGUGGAUGAAAUUGGAUCUUUUAGAGAUGGUAAUUUAAGGUUGUGAGGGAAAGAGGAUGAAUAAAUUAGUGGGUUUUGAGAUGGAUGUUUGAAGAGCUGAAGAGUGGGAAGAUGAGUAGAGGGUUUUUGUGGUUUUCGUGGUUUGAUAGUUUUAGUUGACCAUGAAGAUUGAAGGUCACCUCUGGGGCUUGGGGAGAAGAUAGCUGACGAAGUCAUGGUUACCUUCGUUGAUAUUGGUUGCUUCUGGUUUGAGAGGUGGAAUGGGUGGAUAAGGAGUGGAAAUCAGGUUGAAGAAGACGAUGAGUAAACCCUGCCUAAAACCUUGUGUUUCUUGCCCUUCUUAUUUUUGUGUAUUGCUCUAUCUAUGUAAAGCUUCAAUGUGUAUUGCUCUAUCUGUGUAAAGCUUCAAAAGUUGGAUUUAUAAAUCUAUCUGAUUUUGUUAUAAA